UCUUAUCCUAGUUAUUUAUUUGGAAAAAAAUUAUGGUUCUGAAAAGAACCGAUUUGUGUUUGAUUAAGUAUGUUCCUACUUAAUACUGUUUUGGUUUUUUUUCGUUGAGCCUGGUUUAUUUGAUUUCUUGGGUUGUUCUGUGAUUACAAUCAUCGACAAGAGACCAUUUUGUCUGCUGUUUUAGAUUUUUCCACUCGAUUGAAUUUUUCCAGAGAUAUUUUCCCGAGUGGAGAGUCUUACCACUGAAAUUGUGGAUUGGGGGCAUAAAAACAUCUGGAUAAAACUGGUAUUUGAGAGCACGUGGAAACGUGGAAAAGGUUGUAAUGCACUCUGUGGCAGAACAUGGGGUAACAUGUUUCGGAUAGAGUUUAUAUGAACUUUUCUUUUUAAAUGCGUCAACGUUAUAAUUUUAUUGGGCAAUGUUAAUAAAAUUUCUAUAUUACUGAAAUAAAUUUAUCCGGAGCUUACAGUUCCCACCCUAUGAAAUUCAAACAAUUAAAAUGCAUAUUACAAAUUCAAAUUACCCGUUUAGUGUGUACACGGAUUACGUCCGGCUAUAACGUGACAUUCGAGAGUGACAAUGACAAUGAGCGGACCAAUGAGAAUCAUCUUUCACGCAGUGCUGCUUGGCGGUAACGCCAAAGCUCUCAGAAAUUCUGAAAAGCUGCAAUGCUUAUAAUUUAUUGGUUGUUGGCAUAAACAAAUUAUUAUGUGCUAUUACAGAAAUCUUGAUUUUUUAAAUUAUCUAUAUGAUUGUAGAUUUAUUAGUUACUAGAACACUGUCUUUCUAAGCAAGACAAAAUUUAUAUUUUGUCAAUAUCGGUUUAUCAGUGAUGUGAUAUCCGGGGUGUGACAAUUCAGCACUUUUCCAUGAUUGAGAUUGGAGACAGAAGACAACUGCUGCUUGUCUGUAUCUAUGUUUAUCUCUGGUUACGUGCAUCAUAUGUUUUUCGAAAACUUGAAAAUAUUAAAAAUCCAUAUUAAUCGAUGCGAUAAAAUAAAUGUGAGUCAAAAUAUAAAAACCGUGCUUGUGCCUCAGUGUUAUGAUGUGCCUUCAAGACGGUAAUUACCGUAUAAUUAUGGCUUAAAACCCCGCAAACAUGUAAAGGUAUGUUGGUGUUUAAACUAAAUACAUUUGAUUAUUUUAUUAUUUCUUGUUCUAAACAUACAGGUGAUACCGUUGUUCUGGACUUGAAGCAUUGAAGACGCUAGGGAUCACGUGAGAAAACCACACACGAAAAAUGUUCGCAUAAGAUACGGCAAAAAUGUAAAGGUAAUGUCGCUGUUGUCGACUUGAAGCAUUGCAGAUGCUAGGGAUCACCAGAUCUCCAGAUCCAGUGAGAAAACCACACACGAAAAAUUUUCGCAUAAGAGACAAGUAAGGUUGUCUGAACCUAAUUAUUCUUCUAUUAAUGUAAAAUUAUUAUCUGUAUUUUUUUAUUUUUACCAGUUUGAUUUUGGUUGAUUUCUAUUUUGCGAUAAGCAUGUUUUCUUGGAUCGAAGGAAAGUAAAAUGAAAGUAAUGUAUCAAUGCAAAUUGCUAUACCUAACUGUAUUUCUACACAA